UUCGAAGGCUUCUUUAAAUUCCUCAUUGC
rnacentral:piRNA from 1 species